rnacentral:lncRNA from 1 species
AAAUGAAAAUCCAAUUCUCAUUUAAAGAUACAAAACUAUUUUGUUCUCAACUAAUUUGGGCUGAAAAGCAAUAACCUCAACCAUUGGGCUAUUUUGCAAAACACAAACUUUUGAGGUCCCUUUGUAAAAACACAAAAGUCCACUACUUCAUGUAAUUACAACUAGAACCCAAAAAUUUCAACAAAUGCAAAAACUUCAUUAAAGGAGCAAAACAAUUUGUCCUUUAGUGAUUUUGGGCCUUCACAUAAAAAUGUAAACUUUCGGGUCAAAGUACAAAUACACAAAAGUAUCAAAACUUUAUGUAAUUGCAUAAAAGCCCCAAAAGUACCCCUAUUUAAUAGGGUGGCCUAUUUUGGAUGAGAGAUGGUGUCAUAAAACUUUUGAAUUUUUCAACAAAAGUAAAAGGUGAUGGGUAGGUUUGAAAAGUGAUUUCCAUAAAACAUGGUUCCUUGAAACAAUGAAAAUGUGUAAGUGAUUGGUAUGGUGUUGAUUGAAAAAUGACAAAUCAUGUCAUACCAUUUAUUACAAUAAAGUCACACCAACCACCAUAAACAAAACUUCAUGAAAAACAUCAAACACUAUGAAUCAAAACACCAAACCUUUUUGUUCUUGGUUAGAACAUAACAAGAACAAUGAAGAACAUCCAUGAAAACCCAUAAGAGCUCCAUGAACAUUUUUCACCCAAAGACACCCCAAAAAUUCUCAAAUUUAAGGGAAAAAACAUAUUACCAUACUAGGGUACUUAGGGGUUCCUAAUGUCACUUUAAAACACUUUUAACAAGACAAACAUGAACCCAAAAAUCCACCCUUUGGAUUUAGCCGAAUUUCCCCAAAAACAUGGCACCAAAUUUUAGCUCCAAAAUUCAUGCUCAUAUGAACUACAUCUACAACAUUUAAGAUGGCAAAUUUUCUAACAAAAUUUACAUUCAAAGAAGCAAGAAUAAAGCUUGUAAAAAUUACAACAUUCAAAUAAAAAACUAUGAAAUACAUAACCCAAAAGGAUUCACCAACUACUAGACCUAGGCUCUUGAUACCACUUGAAGGAAAUUUUGUGAAAAAUAGGUUCAUUUGAGCAACAUCUAUGGCAUGCAAUUAACAAUUAAAGGUGGAAUCAUGCUUGUAUGCACUCAAAACAAAACAUUACCCAUGAAAUUCAAAGCCUAGUAGAAAGGUGAACCAAGACUCAACUCAGGAACAAAGUGAGUUGAGAAAUCUUAUACCUUUGUUGAUUCCUCUUUGCAUAAGCAAAGGCUAAUCACCCAAGGACAGGGCCUUCAUUCCUUGCUUCUUAGAUCCAUGGAUUUCUUGGAUGAGGAUGGUUGAAAGGAUUCUCCAAGUUCCCGAAGUUGAGAACCUCUAAUUUUCCACACUAAGGAGGGACAUGAAGAAGAGAUGAGUGACCUUGGAGGAGGAAAGCUUGCUAGCUAAUCUCCUCCAAGGGGCCGGCCUCCUAGAGAGAAAGGGAGAGACAUGUUCUCUCCAAUUUUCUCCAAAGGAAACCCUAAGGAUGAAAUGGCUAUAAAGUUGCCUUUAUACCACCUCACAAUGGAGUGGCAAACUUGCAAUAAAGCCAAGUUCACUACCCCUCUCUAUAUGGCCGGUUUUCCCAAGCCUUUGGGCAGUUUUAGGCUUCUUGAAUUUAUUUUGUUAAGUUGUCAUACAACUUAAGCUAAUGGGCUUGACGAUUCGAAGCCCAAUUUGGGCUUUAAGGCCCAAAACUAACUCAAGGUUUAAAACGAAAUUAUUCGUUUGAUUAAUUAACAUAUUAAUUAAUUCUUGCCAUAAACAAUUAAACCAUUUAAUUGUCCUUACUGAUCUCCGUUGUUUCUUCAAUCUCUACCUUACACGGUGUACGAUCCAUUAGGUUCCUUUUAGAGAGGCAAUGGACAAUUAGAACUCUUUCAAAUCGAUUGUGAAUUGAAACUUUCUUUCAAUUCUCCCUUUAGUGAUUAUACACGUUUAGGGCUCCACAAACCAUGAAUGACACCUAGCAACAUGUCAUGGUUACCCAAGCUAAUCAGAAGAGGUGGAGAACCUAUUCAAUUUUGGAUUACAAUGCAAUACGGUAUUUCUCUAAUACAGUACUCUUGACCACAUUGUUUGGUUUAAUAGUUUAUUCAUGUCUACUAUCCAAUGUGAUUCUCUUACUUAUAUGAUUACCUUGAAUGCGAUUUGGAACGACUUCCUAAAUCUUAUUCAUACUCUGCCCAGAGAUUUUUAAUCAUAUCAUAGAGUAUUCUCCCUCAAACAGUUUGAAGGUUAGAGAUCCCUUGCUGCGCAUUCACUUGCCUCCAUGGCUAAGUGGCUUAACCCCAACUAUGACGUGGACACCCUCUA